rnacentral:lncRNA from 1 species
UUAUCUUCUCAUAGCAGUUGAAACAAACCUGAACUUCCCUUGCUUAUCCAUUCUUGUCCUAGUAGCUUGACAGUCUUGCAGUAAUUUCAGCAUGCAAUUCAUAUGACAGAAGUUGUUUCACUUGUAUGGAACAACUUGCACAACAUGUUUCAUUCGCAUGUCUAUGAUCAAAACAAACAUGCCCUAACACAAAAACAGCUUGUACUCAAA